rnacentral:rRNA from 1 species
UUAGAGUUUGAUCAUGGCUCAGGAUGAACGCUAGCGGCAGGCUUAACACAUGCAAGUCGAGGGGCAGCGAGAAUAGCAAUAUUUGUCGGCGACCGGCGCACGGGUGAGUAACGCGUAUGCAACCUACCCUUUAUCGGGGGAUAGCCCGGAGAAAUUCGGAUUAAUACCCCAUAGUAUUAUAUUUUGGCAUCAAGAGAUAAUUAAAACUCCGGUGAUAGAGGAUGGGCAUGCGUGACAUUAGUUAGUUGGUGAGGUAACGGCUCACCAAGACCAUGAUGUCUACGGGGUCUAAAAGGAUGGUCCCGCACACUGGUACUGAGACACGGACCAGACUCCUACGGGAGGCAGCAGUGAGGAAUAUUGGUCAAUGGGCGCAAGCCUGAACCAGCCAUGCCGCGUGAAGGAUGACGGCCCUAUGGGUUGUAAACUUCUUUUGUACGAGAAGAACAUGAGAUACGUGUAUUUCACUGACUGUAUCGUAUGAAUAAGGAUCGGCUAACUCCGUGCCAGCAGCCGCGGUAAUACGGAGGAUCCAAGCGUUAUCCGGAUUUAUUAGGUUUAAAGGGUGCGUAGGCGGAAUUAUAAGUCAGUGGUGAAAUCCUGCAGCUUAACUGUGGGACUGCCAUUGAUACUGUUAUUCUUGAGUACGGUUGAGGUAGGCGGAAUGUGUAGUGUAGCGGUGAAAUGCUUAGAUAUUACACAGAACACCGAUUGCGUAGGCAGCUUACCAAGCCGUAACUGACGCUGAGGCACGAAAGCGUGGGGAUCGAACAGGAUUAGAUACCCUGGUAGUCCACGCCGUAAACGAUGAUUACUCGUUGUGCGCGAUAUACAGUGCGUGACUGAGCGAAAGCAUUAAGUAAUCCACCUGGGGAGUACGUUCGCAAGAAUGAAACUCAAAGGAAUUGACGGGGGCCCGCACAAGCGGAGGAACAUGUGGUUUAAUUCGAUGAUACGCGAGGAACCUUACCCGGGCUUAAAUGCAGAGCGAUCGGUGUCGAAAGAUGCUUUCCCUUCGGGGCGAAUUGCAAGGUGCUGCAUGGCUGUCGUCAGCUCGUGCCGUGAGGUGUCGGGUUAAGUCCCAUAACGAGCGCAACCCCUAUUGUUAGUUGCCAGCGGGUGAUGCCGGGAACUCUAACGAGACUGCCACCGUAAGGUGUGAGGAAGGUGGGGAUGACGUCAAGUCAGCACGGCCCUUAUGUCCGGGGCUACACACGUGUUACAAUGGUAAUUACAGAGGGCAGCCACCUGGUAACAGGGAGCUAAUCCUAAAAAAUUAUCUCAGUUCGGAUCGUAGUCUGCAACUCGACUACGUGAAGUUGGAUUCGCUAGUAAUCGCGCAUCAGCCAUGGUGCGGUGAAUACGUUCCCGGGCCUUGUACACACCGCCCGUCAAGCCAUGGAAGCUGGGGGUGCCUAAAGUCCGUAACCGCGAGGGACGGCCUAGGGCAAAACUAGUAACUAGGGCUAAGUGGUAACAAGGUAGCCAAGGGCGAA